rnacentral:lncRNA from 1 species
UGAGCAACACCACAGCCAUUGCUGAGGCCUGGGCUCGCCUGGAUCACAAGUUUGAUCUGAGGUAUAUGCCAAGCGUGCCUUUAUGUGUGUGAGGGCAUGGAGGAGGGGGCAGUUCUCUGAGGCCCGUGAGGACAUGGUUACCCUGGAGAAGGAUUAUGAAGAGGUUGGUGUGGAUUCUGUAGCAGGUGAGGGUGAAGAAGGAGAGGAAUUCUAAAUUAAAUGUCACAAGGUGCUGCUUUCACAGGGCUGUUUAUUCUGUUCCAACAUAGAAAGUUGUGGUCUGACCAGUUAAUUUGUAUGUGGCAAUGUGUGUUUUCAUACAGUUACUGACUUAGGCUUUAAAUAUGAAUAAUUUGUCAGAGACCCAAGCCACCCACUUCACUGAUGGAUUUUAAAUAAAAUAAUCCCUGUCUUAAACAGAAAACAAAAAGUAAAUCGAA